GUAGGGAAUAUUGGGCAAUGGAUGCAAGUCUGACCCAGCCAUCCCGCGUGCCGGAAGAAGGCCCUCAGGGUUGUAAACGGCUUUUGACGGUGAAGAAUCGACAGGAUGCGUCCUGUUUUGACGGUAGCCGUUGAAUAAGCACCGGCUAACUCCGUGCCAGCAGCCGCGGUAAUACGGAGGGUGCGAGCGUUGUCCGGAUUUAUUGGGUUUAAAGGGUGCGUAGGCUGGAAGGUCAGUCAGCGGUGAAAAGCUAUCGCUUUACGAUAGUCUUGCCGCAGAUACUUCCUUUCUUGGAUGAGGAGGAGGCCACUGGAACGGAUGGUGUAGCGGUGAAAUGCAUAGAUAUCAUCCAGAACACCGAUUGCGAAGGCAGGUGGCUGUACCUUAAUCGACGCUGAUGCACGAAAGCAUGGGGAGCAAACAGGAUUAGAAACCCCAGUAGUCC
rnacentral:rRNA from 1 species